UACAGAGGGUGCAAGCGUUAAUCGGAAUUACUGGGCGUAAAGGGCGCGUAGGCGGGAGCCUAAGUCAUAUGUGAAAGUCCUGGGCUUAACCUGGGGACGGCAUAUGAAACUGGGCACCUAGAGUAGGGUAGAGGGAAGUGGAAUUUCCGGUGUAGCGGUGAAAUGCGUAGAUAUCGGAAGGAACACCAGUGGCGAAGGCGGCUUCCUGGAUUCAUACUGACGCUGAGGCGCGAAAGCGUGGGGAGCAAACAGG
rnacentral:rRNA from 1 species